CUGUAACUAGUGACUGGGCCCCCGCUGUGCACCCGUCCCUGGGAACCAGACCUCCACCGGUGCGCACCGGGGCUCCCCACCUCACCAGCCCCCCUCGCCUGGCUCGGUUCCACCCACCCGAGUGUAUAAGAUUCCUGGGCACAGAAGUGGACUUACCAAAGUAGUGGGCAAAAGCCUAUUGCAACCAACACAUUGAAGCACCGCCUUGCCAUUACAAUGUGCAGUUCUGUAUUCAUCUGUGUAGCUGUGUCAGGUCUUCACAGCAAUUAGAAGGUUGGCUUCUGGGGGCACCUGGCUGGUUCAAUUGGUAAAGCGUGUGACU